UGAAAUUGAUUGGAUUUGAAAACCCCAGCCCAUCAGAGAGUAAACAAAGGUCUCGGUCUUACUUGGAAGUGAGCGGUUUUGAGAGUAAACUAAUAUUGCGAACGUAAUUAGACUAUCAGCUGAUAUGAUGGUUGCAUAUGGUUGAUAUGAGGUGCCACGGUUGGUUUGACGACUUAAUGGAAGUAUAGUUUAAAUUACAGUGUUGUGGAGAGAGGGUUUGACCUAGUUGUGCGGGUUUAAGUGUAAGGUGCACCCAAAAGCAGUAUUUCUUAUAUCGAUAUGAGCACUGUGCAGUGAGUAUUGAGUUAACUUUGUAUUUUGAUCGAAUAUCCGGGAUUUUAAGGCAAAGGCAGGGCAGCAAGAAAAGUGUAUCAUCCUCUGGUGAUGGUUCAGUUACUUAAGCUCAACUUAAUUAGAAAAGUUUUUUUUUUUGAGUCUCUUGGUCCGAGUUCAACUUACCAGAGCGGUGACUGGCAGCGCCACCACGAGCAAAAUUGUCUUGCAAUUGCAGGGUUGCCAUGCUUCAUUUCAGUGUUUAUAUUUUUUCAUAAGAAAAUAAGUAAGUUAAGAUUUUGUUAAAAACUUUUUUGAAGUCUA